GGGGCCGAUCUUGGAUUUGACAGCAAGAUGGUUAAUUGUGUAAGCAUGUCGAGCUCUUAGUAAUUCCGCUCGUAAAUAAUGAAUUAUUAACGUCAGAAAUGACAACAAUUCCUACGCGCUCGCAGCUUAAGAGACUCAGUCUUUUAACUUUAUUCUACUAUUAGAUAGUAGAACGAGCUAUCCCGAUGCAACGUACGGACCCUUCCGCGGCAUCAAUGGGGUAUCAGGCAAAUGGGACUAGUGAACGGUGGGUUCGACACCCGGAGCGAAAACUACUGAACUAAGCUUUAGGUGGGCUGUCCAUGGCCAUCCUCAAGUCGAAAAUCAAUCAUAGAAUAAACAUGUAGAAGUCCCAAUUCUCCCUUGUUUGGACGGGGGUUCGACUCCCCCCGGCUCCACUU
rnacentral:tmRNA from 1 species